rnacentral:rRNA from 1 species
AUUGAACGCUGGCGGCAGGCCUAACACAUGCAAGUCGAACGAGUGGCGGACGGGUGAGUAAUGUCUGGGAAACUGCCCGAUGGAGGGGGAUAACUACUGGAAACGGUAGCUAAUACCGCAUACCAUCGGAUGUGCCCAGAUGGGAUUAGCUAGUAGGUGGGGUAACGGCUCACCUAGGCGACGGUCCCUAGCUGGUCUGAGAGGAUGACCAGCCACACUGGAGCUGAGACCCGGUCCAGAGUCAUACGGGGGGCAGCAGUGGGGAAUAUUGCACAAUGGGCGAAAUCCUGACGAAGCCAUGCCGCGUGUAGGAAGAAGGUCUUCGGGUUGUAAAGUACUUUCAGCGAGGAGGCGUUACCCGCAGAAGAAGCACCGGCUAACUCCGUGCCAGCAGCCGCGGUAAUAC